AUCCUGGCUCAGAUUGAACGCUGGCGGCAUGCCUUACACAUGCAAGUCGAACGGCAGCACGGACUUCGGGUCUGGUGGCGAGUGGCGAACGGGUGAGUAAUGUAUCGGAACGUACCUUUCAGUGGGGGAUAACGUAGCGAAAGUUACGCUAAUACCGCAUAUUCUGUGAGCAGGAAAGCAGGGGAUCGCAAGACCUUGCGCUGAUUGAGCGGCCGAUAUCAGAUUAGCUAGUUGGUGAGGUAAAGGCUCACCAAGGCGACGAUCUGUAGCGGGGUCUGAGAGGAUGAUCCGCCACACUGGAACUGAGACACGGUCCAGACUCCUACGGGAGGCAGCAGUGGGGAAUUUUGGACAAUGGGGGCAACCCUGAUCCAGCCAUGCCGCGUGAGUGAAGAAGGCCUUCGGGUUGUAAAGCUCUUUCGGCCGGGAAGAAAUCGCAUGGGCUAAUACCCUGUGCGGAUGACGGUACCGGCAUAAGAAGCACCGGCUAACUACGUG
rnacentral:rRNA from 1 species